UACGUAGGUGGCAAGCGUUGUUCGGAAUUACUGGGCGUAAAGCGCACGUAGGCGGCUUGGUAUGUCGGGUGUGAAAUCCCCGGGCUCAACCUGGGAACUGCAUCCGAAACUGCCUUGCUCGAGUAUGGGAGAGGGAAGUGGAAUUUCCGGUGUAGCGGUGAAAUGCGUAGAUAUCGGAAGGAACAUCAGUGGCGAGGGCGACUUCCUGGACCAAUACUGACGCUCAGGUGCGAAAGCGUGGGGAGCAAACAGG
rnacentral:rRNA from 1 species